AGAUGGCUGGAGGAAUGAAGGACAGGAAUACAUGAAAUAUACUGUAUAUUACAGGAGUCUUUACUGCAAGAGAGGGUGAUUAAAAAAAUAACCUUAAACUGUCACACUGUUUUUCAGUUUUGUAUUAAAAACAUAUGCUGUAACUACUAUAAAUUAUUACAUGUAUGUGGUAUAACAUAUAUAUAUGAAGUUAUACGAAAUACAAUAUAUGAGGUACAUCUUUGUUUUUUGAUCCUUAACCACACUGCUCACUUAGUGCUGCACCAGAGCAUGCAGAGAGUCUUCAUGAUAUAAUGACAUAUUCUUUAACACUGAGAAAGAACUGCUGUCCGAGUUUACUGUCAUUGAAAACCUAUGCCCCAAUUCAAGUGGAACACGCAUCAUCAUCUGGAACCUACACAGAGGAUCUUCAGGAGAGUUAGAAUUUGAUUUCAAGAAGGAUCCCUAUGACAUGCGGAUCCCUGUUGAGGUGUACGAGAGCACUAGGGCACAAACCAGGUGGCAAGAAGAGAGUGGCAUUUCAGUGCCUAAGAGUGAAUAUUCACUGCGGGUGAGAAUUUAACAAGAAAACGACGUGAGAGAGUUGAUAUGCAGGUGAUUGAAAAUGUGCUAAUUUCUGAACUGAAUUGAAUUUUUGCAACAGCUCCUAUUCAAAUCUGCAGGUACAGUCUCAAAAUUAAGUUCAACUACUGAUCAAUGUAUAGUCAAAGCUGUUUAUUUCUCUCUUACUUCAGGCAUACUGUAGUAUUCUAUACCUGAAGCCAAGAAUGCAGAUUGUUAUCCAAGGCCAGAAAGUGGAAAGUCAGUUUGUCACAAAGAGUCUAGUAAAUGUCUUCACAGACAAAUACAAACCUGCUGGUCUUAAAAAGGGAAUAACAAUCACAUUUGGCUACAACACGAAGAGCAAAGAUCACUACGGAUUGAUGAUGUACAACAAAAACCGCCUAAUCAAAGCCUAGGAGCGUGUCGCCUGCCAGCGCAAGGCUAACGGCACAGGAGAAGGAGUUAUCGGGGUGUUAGAAUGUAACCAUCUCACACCAAUUCACAACAAGCAGGACUUUGAUAAUAAUGAAGAAUACAGGAAAACCAUGAUAAUUGUAGGUAUGAAGCUUGAGCAAUAUUGGAAGGAACUUCACUAUAGACAUAAGACAUGCAGCGAAGAACCUUUUGAGGAUACUGUAUCAACUCCUGAACAAAACUGGGUUCAGUGUAAUGAUUGUUUGAAGUGGCGAAAACUUCCAGAUGGUGUUGAUGGUAAAAAACUGCCUGAAAAGUGGUUCUGCCACAUGAACGCUGACCUUCAAUUCAGGUGCCUUUGUGUAUCUCUUUCUAUUUCUGUUUAUGUGUAUUUGUGUGUGUUCUCAUGUAAAUGAUAACGUGAUUCCAUCAGGAGUUGUACAGAUGAAGAAGAGCUUGAUGAGUCUAAUGAUGAACAACCUAAUUGCUGGAAAAUCUACAAAAAACAGUGAGGAAUAGUUCCUGUCAUAUACAUAGAUAAGUCUAAUAUCAUACAUUUCUUUUGAGGUUAUACAGUCAGGUCCAUAAAUAUUUGAACAUUGACAAAGUUAUUGUUUUUUUUUUAGCUGUCUACAACAGCAAUUGGAGGUGGAUUUAUGUAAUGAAAAUAAUAACAAACUGUAAACUUCCAGGUUUUAUUUAAGGGUAUGUAAAUUCAAUUCAGUUGAAAGUUAAAGGAAAUGACAUCACUUUGUGUAUUUGCCAUCUAAAUUUUUUUAAAGCCAAAAGUAAUCAAAUUGUUAUUACAUGAUGAGCUCCAGAAUUAUUUUCUUUUACUUAGGCAGGUUUCACUGUUCAGUUGAUUGACUGAAUAAACAGGAUGUUGCACAUAGCAUUCUGAAAUAAAAAAGGCAAACAUUUCAUAUAUCAACAAUCUGUGCAAUGCAGAAAGUCUAAGAGCUGUUUUAUGUAUUAUGACUGCUGUU